rnacentral:rRNA from 1 species
GACGAACGCUGGCGGCGUGCUUAACACAUGCAAGUCGAGCGGUAAGGCCCUUCGGGGUACACGAGUGGCGAACGGGUGAGUAACACGUGGGUGAUCUGCCCUGCACUUCGGGAUAAGCCUGGGAAACUGGGUCUAAUACCGGAUAGGACCACUGCCUGCAUGGGUGGUGGUGGAAAGCUUUUGCGGUGUGGGAUGGGCCCGCGGCCUAUCAGCUUGUUGGUGGGGUGAUGGCCUACCAAGGCGACGACGGGUAGCCGGCCGGGGAGGGUGACCGGGCACAUUUGGACUGAGACGCGGCCCCGACUACUACGGGAGGCAGCAGUGGGGAAUAUUGGGCAAUGGAGGAAACUCUGACCCAGCGACGCCGCGUGAGGGAUGAAGGCCUUCGGGUUGUAAACCUCUUUCAGUAGGGAAGAAGCGAAAGUGACGGUACCUACAGAAGAAGCACCGGCUAACUAUGCGCCAGCCGCCGCCGUAA